CCCAACAUCCCCACAUUGUCAUUGGAGAAAUUAAAUAAGUAUAAGAAAAAAAAAUUGUAUAAGAAAAAAAUAUUGAAUAAUAAUUUCCUGUCAAUAUACAUAGUAUGUCCUUAUUAUCUACAAAAUUUCAUGAAAUUAUGUUGUAUGUUUUCAGAGGAGUUGAGAUGACAAACUGUUGCAGAAGUACAUUAAAGUAAAUAAGUUCAAAGGGGCGUAACUCCUAGAAAAAAAAUUGAAUCGCAAUUUCCCGUCGAUAUGCACAACUACAUAGUAUGUCCUUAUUAUCUGAAAAGGUGUCGUGAAAUUCUGUUGUGUGGUUUGAGAGGAGUUGCGAUGACAACCUGUUGCAGUACUACAUUAAAGUAAAUAAGU
rnacentral:lncRNA from 1 species